GAUGAACGCUGGCGGCGUGCUUAACACAUGCAAGUCGAGCGAGAGAGUUCUUCGGAACAAUCUAGCGGCGGACGGGCGAGUAACACGUGGGCAACCUGCCUCAUAGAGGGGAAUAGCCUUCCGAAAGGAAGAUUAAUACCGCAUAACAUCGUUGAAGGGCAUCCUUCGAUGAUCAAAGGAGCAAUCCGCGAUGAGAUGGGCCCGCGGCGCAUUAGCUAGUUGGUGAGGUAACGGCUCACCAAGGCGACGAUGCGUAGCCGACCUGAGAGGGUGAUCGGCCACAUUGGGGCUGGGACACGGCCCAGACUCCUACGGGAGGCAGCAGUGGGGAAUAUUGCACAAUGGGGGAAACCCUGAUGCCGCAACGCCGCGUGAGUGAUGACGGCCUUCGGGUUGUAAAGCUCUGUCUUUGGGGACGAUAAUGACGGUACCCAAGGAGGAAGUCACGGCUAACUACGUGCCAGCCGCCGCAGUAA
rnacentral:rRNA from 1 species